rnacentral:rRNA from 1 species
CGCGUAGGCGGUUUACACAGUCAGAUGUGAAAUUCCAGGGCUUAACCUUGGGGCUGCAUUUGAUACUGGUAGACUUGAGUGUGAUUGAGGUAGCUGGAAUGGAUAGUGUAGCGGUGAAAUGCAUAGAUAUUAUCCAGAACACCGAUUGCGAAGGCAGGUUACUAAGUCAUAACUGACGCUGAGGCACGAAAGUGUGGGGAUCAAACAGGAUUAGAUACCCCUGUA